GACGAACGCUGGCGGCGUGCCUAAUACAUGCAAGUCGAGCGAAUGGACUAAGAGCUUGCUCUUAUGAAGUUAGCGGCGGACGGGUGAGUAACACGUGGGUAACCUGCCCAUAAGACUAGGAUAACUCCGGGAAACCGGGGCUAAUACCGGAUAACAUUUUGAACCGCAUGGUUCGAAAUUGAAAGGCGGCUUCGGCUGUCACUUAUGGAUGGACCCGCGUCGCAUUAGCUAGUUGGUGAGGUAACGGCUCACCAAGGCAACGAUGCGUAGCCGACCUGAGAGGGUGAUCGGCCACACUGGGACUGAGACACGGCCCAGACUCCUACGGGAGGCAGCAGUAGGGAAUCUUCCGCAAUGGACGAAAGUCUGACGGAGCGACGCCGCGUGAGUGAUGAAGGCUUUCGGGUCGUAAAACUCUGUUGUUAGGGAAGAACAAGUGCUAGUUGAAUAAGCUGGCACCUUGACGGUACCUAACCAGAAAGCCACGGCUAACUACGUGCCAGCCGCCGCAGUAA
rnacentral:rRNA from 1 species